rnacentral:rRNA from 1 species
AUUGAACGCUGGCGGCAUGCCUUACACAUGCAAGUCGAACGGUAACAGGGAGCUUGCUCCGCUGACGAGUGGCGAACGGGUGAGUAAUAUAUCGGAACGUACCAUUGAGUGGGGGAUAACGUAGCGAAAGUUGCGCUAAUACCGCAUAUUCUCUCCGGAGGAAAGCAGGGGACCGCAAGGCCUUGCGCUCAUUGAGCGGCCGAUAUCAGAUUAGCUAGUUGGAGAGGUAACGGCUCACCAAGCCAGCGAUCAGUAGCCGGACUGAGAGGUCGAACGGCCACAUUGGGACUGAGACACGGCCCAGACUCCUACGGGAGGCAGCAGUUGGGAAUAUUGCACAAUGGGGGGAAACCCUGAUGCAGCGACGCCGCGUGAGGGAAGAAGGUUUUCGGAUUGUAAACCUCUGUCUUUAGGGACGAUAAUGACGGUACCUAAGAGGAAGCCAUGGCUAACUACGUG